rnacentral:rRNA from 1 species
UGGGGAAUUUUGGACAAUGGGCGCAAGCCUGAUCCAGCCAUGCCGCGUGUGUGAAGAAGGCCUUCGGGUUGUAAAGCACUUUCAGACGGAACGAAAUCGCGCGGUUGAACAUUCCGCGUGGAUGACGGUACCGUAAGAAGAAGCACCGGCUAACUACGUGCCAGCAGCCGCGGUAAUACGUAGGGACCAAGCGUUGUUCGGAUUUACUGGGCGUAAAGGGCGCGUAGGCGGCAAUUCAAGUCAUCUGUGAAAUCUCCGGGCUUAACUCGGAACGGUCAGAUGAUACUGCUUUGCUAGAGUGCAGAAGGGGCAAUCGGAAUUCUUGGUGUAGCGGUGAAAUGCGUAGAUAUCAGGAGGAACACCUGAGGUGAAGGCGGCCCACUGGCUCGAUACUGACGCUGAGGUGCGAAAGCGUGGGGAGCAAACAGGAUUAGAUACCCCGGUAGUCCCUGAGCGGGCUGGCAAGGCGCAU